rnacentral:tRNA from 11 species
GGCGUGUUAGCAGAGAGGUUAUGCACCGGAUUGCAAAUCCGUGGAGCUCGGUUCGAUUCCGGGACACGCCUCCA